UUUCCGUAGGUGAACCUGCGGAAGGAUCAUUAUCGUAAAACCGAGGUGCGAGGGCUGUCGCUGACCUUUUCGGUCGUGCACGCCCGAGCGCUCUCACACAAUCCAUCUCACCCCUUGUGCACCACCGCGUGGGUCCCUUUCUGGCUCGUCCGGAGGGGGGCUCGCGGUUUCACACAAACUUGAAGUAGUGUAGAAUGUCCUUUUUUUGCGAUAAUACGCAAUCAAUACAACUUUCAACAACGGAUCUCUUGGCUCUC
rnacentral:misc_RNA from 1 species